UUAAUACCCAGAAUGAGUGGACGUUACUCGCAGAAUAAGCACCGGCUAACUCUGUGCCAGCAGCCGCGGUAAUACAGAGGGUGCAAGCGUUAAUCGGAUUUACUGGGCGUAAAGCGUGCGUAGGCGGCUAAUUAAGUCAAAUGUGAAAUCCCCGAGCUUAACUUGGGAAUUGCAUUCGAUACUGGUUAGCUAGAGUAUGGGAGAGGAUGGUAGAAUUCCAGGUGUAGCGGUGAAAUGCGUAGAGAUCUGGAGGAAUACCGAUGGCGAAGGCAGCCAUCUGGCCUAAUACUGACGCUGAGGUACGAAAGCAUGGGGAGCAAACAGGAUUAGAUACCCUGGUAGUCCAUGCCGUAAACGAUGUCUACUAGCCGUUGGGGUCUUUGAGACCUUAGUGGCGCAGCUAACGCGAUAAGUAGACCGCCUGGGGAGUACGGUCGCAAGACUAAAACUCAAAUGAAUUGACGGGGGCCCGCACAAGCGGUGGAGCAUGUGGUUUAAUUCGAUGCAACGCGAAGAACCUUACCUGGCCUUGACAUACUAAGAACUUUCCAGAGAUGGAUUGGUGCCUUCGGGAACUUAGAUACAGGUGCUGCAUGGCUGUCGUCAGCUCGUGUCGUGAGAUGUUGGGUUAAGUCCCGCAACGAGCGCAACCCUUUUCCUUAUUUGCCAGCGAGUAAUGUCGGGAACUUUAAGGAUACUGCCAGUGACAAACUGGAGGAAGGCGGGGACGACGUCAAGUCAUCAUGGCCCUUACGGCCAGGGCUACACACGUGCUACAAUGGUCGGUACAAAGGGUUGCUACCUAGCGAUAGGAUGCUAAUCUCAAAAAGCCGAUCGUAGUCCGGAUUGGAGUCUGCAACUCGACUCCAUGAAGUCGGAAUCGCUAGUAAUCGCGGAUCAGAAUGCCGCGGUGAAUACGUUCCCGGGCCUUGUACACACCGCCCGUCACACCAUGGGAGUUUGUUGCACCAGAAGUAGCUAGCCUAACAGCAAUGAGGGCGGUACCACGGGCCCGU
rnacentral:rRNA from 1 species